AAAUGUAUUCUCCUGAGUAUUGGGUUGGGUAUUGUUGUUUUUUCUCCGAUAGUGGUGCUAAAACUUUUUACAAUAACUUUUAAUCCACCACAAGGCUUACUAGUUUCAAGUGAACAAACAGUCUGUGUUAUUUUUCUGACAACAGCAGCUGCACACUGCUUAAUGUCCCCCUGUUGGAAUCCUUCAGUGAAAUACAGACACCCUUUAGACCGUUUAGCUGUCAACAUUUU